GACGAACGCUGGCGGCGUGCUUAACACAUGCAAGUCGAACGGCAAGGCCCUGCUUUUGUGGGGUGCUCGAGUGGCGAACGGGUGAGUAACACGUGAGUAACCUGCCCUUCACUUUGGGAUAACUUCAGGAAACUGGGGCUAAUACCGGAUAGGAGCUCCUGCUGCAGGGUGGGGGUUGGAAAGUUUCGGCGGUUGGGGAUGGACUCGCGGCUUAUCGGCUAGCUGGUGGGGUAGUGGCUUACCCAGGCUUUGACGGGUAGCCGGCCUGAGAGGGUGACCGGCCACAUUGCGACUGAGAUACGGCGCAGACUCCUACGGGAGGCAGCAGUGGGGAAUAUUGCACAAUGGGCGGAAGCCGGAUGCAGCAGCGCCGCGUGCGGGAUGCCGGCCUGCGGGUUGUAAACCGCUUUCGCCUGUGACGAAGCGUGAGUGACGGUAAUGGGUAAAGAAGCACCGGCUAACUACGUG
rnacentral:rRNA from 1 species